rnacentral:tRNA from 1 species
GCCGUGAUCGUCUAGUGGUCAGGACAUUGCGUUGUGGCCGCAAUAACCUUGGUUCGAAUCCUGGUCUCGGCA